AUAUUGGGUAUUGAGCAAAAUACUAGACAGAAAAGAGAAUAAAAUAUGAUACAUAGUCAAAUGUAUAGUUCAAGGAGAUACAUUAAUAGAGAAAAUUUCUAUUAUAGUAUUUUAUUAUGAUAAAUGUAUAAGUAGUAUUGUUUGGAAAUCAAAGAAACCUUAUUAGAAAGAGGUAAGAGAUAACUUGUGCAUUGAGAGAAGAUAUAUAGCUAGCUAUGUGAAGAACAGCAGUAGGAAUGGGGUGCGGGAGUGGUGCUGGCAUUCCAUAUAGAGAGAAAAUCAUUUACAAAAUAAGUACAUGUGAGACAGAGUGUUGUUGUUGUUGUUUUUGAUAUGCAAAAAGUCACUGUGAAUUACUAAAUAACAAAUUUUUCUGAAGGAUAGAGGUAACAGAUUCUGAAAAAUAAGGUUGGAGUCUGAGGAUAUUGGGAGACAAAAAUAGCUUUACUCAUGUACUUGUAUAGUCAAAUUGAGUCUUACAGGGGUGAAAAACUGAAGGUAGGGUGACUAAUAACAUAACUAAUAGUUUAGGUGAGUGAUGAUGGUGCAUCACCAAUUAUAGCACUGCAAAGAAUAAUUCAGUGAACCUCAAGACAGAUUUGAUAGAACAAUUGAGAAACAGUGGGGAACCUCAGAUAUAAUUUAGUUGUUGCUCAAGAAAAUGGAUAGCUUAUGAUGUAACCAAAUGAGGGAUAUGAACAGGGGAUAUGAACAAGGGAGAUACUUGUAUGAGGAAAGUGUGAGUUUUAGUGCAUAUAACAUAUCCAAGUGGAUUUUUCCUACUGGACAGAUAAAUAUAGGCAUAGGGAUAUAGAUUUACCAGUAAGUGGUAAUGUGGCUAUAUUGAUAUUUUUGAUGAGAGUUAUGUUUAUGAACAGAUUAGUGGCUAAAGUCUAAGCCUAGAGAAAGACCAAUAUUUCUGUGAUAGGUAGAAAAAAAAUGUAGCUAACAUGGAAGAUGAAACUGGAGCAGCCAGUGAAUUAGGAAGAGAAGCAGAAGGAUGAAGUGAAUGUAAAUUAAAUGAUUGGACUGAGUGGUCCUGAUUUUCAAAUAGAAGUCAGAAGUUGAAUAUGGCAGUGCAUUUUAAAUCUUUUGGAUUUGACCUAUACAUGACUAUGGAUAUUUUACAGAGAAGUUUCAGGGUGACUAAUAAUUGACAAAGUGGAGUAUAUGUGUUAGACUACUGAUUUAGUUAGCUUUUUCACUGUUGUAACCCAAAGACAUGACAAGGACAAUUUUAAGGAGGAGACAUUUAUUAGGGGGUUCACGUGUCAGAGGUCUCAGUAAUACACAACUGGCUCUACUCUGGUGGGGGGAGGGCAUGCUGAGGUGAGGCAGAACAUCAAGGCAGAAACAAACACAAAACACAAGUGUGCACACAUAGUAUAAUACACACAACACAUAACAUAAUAGUAAAGGCUUUAUAACUUUUUACAGGUGAAAUCUCCAUUGCAAUGUUUAAAAACUCUAUAGUCAAAAAAUAGAACUGAUCAGCAAAACAUUAACCUAGGUUUGUAUGAGCUCAAAAAACAAAAUAGAACUUCAUGAAGUGGGAAAGAGCAAUAAUAAAAUAGAUAUUGAAAAAAGCAUCCUGGUUCUGUCGCAGAUGUAAGGAUAGCCAAACUGGAGUUUUGGAUAUCAGCUGUUAUGGAUUUGAGCCAAAUCAUCUUCUUUUUCGUCUGUAGAAAUCGCUUUAGUUAAUCUCUCUGGAAUCUAAAUCGGCUGCUGUUCUCCCUGUGGAAACACACAAACAGACCCCGGACUCCAGACAAUCACUGGGUCAGGACCUUUCCAUUGUCCUGUUAGAAUAUCCUUCCAAAGUACCUUGGGCUUAUGUACAUUUUUUGGACACAUAUGCCUUUCCACAGCACUAAGCCCUGAUGAAUCCAAAUUUUAAAAGUUUAGAGUAAAAAGCUUAUUUUAAGUUUAUCUUUGGGGAAUAUAUACCCCUUCCCAAUUCCCUCUUUUCUGCUUUAAUAAGUACAUUUUAAUAGUUUGAUGAGCUCUUUCAACUAUGCCUUGUCCCUGUGGAUUGUAUGGGAUUCCUGUUAUAUGAGUAAUGCCAAAUGAUGAGCAAAAUUGUUUAAAAGAGGUAGAAGUAUAACUAGGACCAUUAUCUGUUUUUAACUGUUUUGGAACGCCCACAGUGGCAAAAUUUUGUAAGCAAUUAGCUAUAAUAUCUUUAGUUUUUUUCUCUGGCAUUAAGGGAGCCCAU
rnacentral:lncRNA from 1 species